UACGAAGGGGGCUAGCGUUGUUCGGAUUUACUGGGCGUAAAGCGCGUGUAGGCGGAUCAAUAAGUUGGGGGUGAAAGCCCAGAGCUCAACUCUGGAACUGCCUUCAAAACUGUUGAUCUGGACUCAAGGAGAGGCAAGUGGAAUGUCUAGUGUAGAGGUGAAAUUCGUAGAUAUUAGACGGAACACCAGUGGCGAAGGCGACUUGCUGGACUUGUAGUGACGCUGAGACGCGAAAGCGUGGGGAGCAAACAGG
rnacentral:rRNA from 1 species